GACGAACGCUGGCGGCGUGCUUAACACAUGCAAGUCGAACGCUGAAGCUCAGCUUUUGUUGGGUGGAUGAGUGGCGAACGGGUGAGUAACACGUGAGUAACCUGCCCCCUUCUUUGGGAUAACGCCCGGAAACGGGUGCUAAUACUGGAUAUUCACUGGUCUUCGCAUGGGGGUUGGUGGAAAGGGUUUUUCUGGUGGGGGAUGGGCUCGCGGCCUAUCAGCUUGUUGGUGGGGUGAUGGCCUACCAAGGCUUUGACGGGUAGCCGGCCUGAGAGGGUGACCGGUCACAUUGGGACAGAGAUACGGCCCAGACUCCUACGGGAGGCAGCAGUGGGGAAUAUUGCACAAUGGGCGCAAGCCUGAUGCAGCGACGCCGCGUGAGGGAUGGAGGCCUUCGGGUUGUGAACCUCUUUCGCUCAUGGUCAAGCCGCAACAAUGGUUGUGGUGAGGGUAGUGGGUAAAGAAGCGCCGGCUAACUACGUG
rnacentral:rRNA from 1 species